UACCGCAUAAGCCCACGGGUCGGCAUCGACCAGAGGGAAAAGGAGCAAUCCGCUUUGAGAUGGCCUCGCGUCCGAUUAGCUAGUUGGUGAGGUAACGGCCCACCAAGGCGACGAUCGGUAGCCGGACUGAGAGGUUGAACGGCCACAAUGGGACUGAGACACGGCCCAGACUCCUACGGGAGGCAGCAGUGGGGAAUAUUGCACAAUGGGGGAAACCCUGAUGUAGCGACGCCGCGUGGAGGAAGAAGGUCUUCGGAUUGUAAACUCCUGUUGUUGAGGAAGAUAAUGACGGUACUCAACAAGGAAGUGACGGCUAACUACGUGCCAGCAGCCGCGGUAAAACGUAGGUCACAAGCGUUGUCCGGAAUUACUGGGUGUAAAGGGAGCGCAGGCGGGAAGACAAGUUGGAAGUGAAAUCCAUGGGCUCAACCCAUGAACUGCUUUCAAAACUGUUUUUCUUGAGUAGUGCAGAGGUAGGCGGAAUUCCCGGUGUAGCGGUGGAAUGCGUAGAUAUCGGGAGGAGCACCAGUGGCGAAGGCGGCCUACUGGGCACCAACUGACGCUGAGGCUCGAAAGUGUGGGUAGCAAACAGGAUUAGAUACCCUGGUAGUCCACACCGUAAACGAUGAUUACUAGGUGUUGGAGGAUUGACCCCUUCAGUGCCGCAGUUAACACAAUAAGUAAUCCACCUGGGGAGUACGACCGCAAGGUUGAAACUCAAAGGAAUUGACGGGGGCCCGCACAAGCAGUGGAGUAUGUGGUUUAAUUCGACGCAACGCGAAGAACCUUACCAAGUCUUGACAUCCUGCGACGGACAUAGAAAUAUGUCUUUCCUUCGGGACGCAGAGACAGGUGGUGCAUGGUUGUCGUCAGCUCGCGUCGUGAGAUGUUGGGUUAAGUCCCGCAACGAGCGCAACCCUUAUGGUCAGUUACUACGCAAGAGGACUCUGGCCAGACUGCCGUUGACAAAACGGAGGAAGGUGGGGAUGACGUCAAAUCAUCAUGCCCUUUAUGACUUGGGCUACACACGUACUACAAUGGCGUUAAACAAAGAGAAGCAAGACCGCGAGGUGGAGCAAAACUCAGAAACAACGUCCCAGUUCGGACUGCAGGCUGCAACUCGCCUGCACGAAGUCGGAAUUGCUAGUAAUCGUGGAUCAGCAUGCCACGGUGAAUACGUUCCCGGGCCUUGUACACACCGCCCGUCACACCAUGAGAGCCGGGGGGACCCGAAGUCGGUAGUCUAACCGUAAGGAGGACGCCGCCGAAGGUAAAACUGGUGAUUGGGGUGAAGUCGUAACAAGGU
rnacentral:rRNA from 1 species